GAUCAAGCUACUAAGGGCUUAUGGUGAAUGCCUUGGUGCCAAGAGGCGAUGAAGGACGUAGCAAGCUGCGAUAAGCUCCGGGAUAGCCGCAAGCAGGCAUUGAUCCGGAGAUUUCCGAAUGGGGACAACCCACCGGCGCAAGCCGGUGUUCCGGGAUGAAUUAAUAGUCCCGGAACGCAAGACGGGGUGAAGUGAAACAUCUCAGUAACCCGAGGAAAAGAAAACGACGUGAUUCCGUGAGUAGUGGCGAUCGAAAGCGGAACAGCCCAAACCGCCGGGACUUGUCCCGGCGGGGUUGUGGGACCCCGACAGGGGAGAGACCAGGUUAGCCGAAGGUUCUGGAAAGCCCUGCCACAGACCGUGACAGCCCGGUAGGCAAAAACCCAGGUCUCCUCAGGGGUAUCCUAAGUAGCACGGUGCACAGGAAACACUGUGUGAAUCGGUCCGGACCACCGGAUAAGGCUAAAUACUCCUUGGCAACCGAUAGUGAACAAGUACCGCGAGGGAAAGGUGAAAAGAACCCCGUUGAGGGGAGUGAAAUAGUACCUGCAACCAUCUGCCUACAAGGUGUGGGAGCCCGUAGGGGUGACCGCCUGCCUUUGCAUAAUGAGUCUGCGAGUUAUUGUCUGGGGCCUGCCUAAGCUGCGGCGCAGCGGAGGCGCAGGGAAACCAAGUACGAAAUGUGCGAUGUGGUCGCAGGCAAUAGACCCGAAGCGGAGGUGAUCUACUCUUGAGCAGGUUGAAGCCUGGGUAACACCAGGUGAAGGACCGAACUCGUGGACGUUGAAAAGUCCUGAGAUGACUUGAGAGUAGGGGCGAAAGACCAAUCAAACCCCGUGAUAGCUGGUUCUCCCCGAAAUAGCAUUGAGGUGCUAGCCUCGGUGCGCUGACGGGCGGAGGUAGAGAUACUGAAUGGACUUAGGGCCCCGCGGGGUACUGAAAAACCAACCAAACUCCGAAUGCCGCCCGGCGAAUUACUCCAGGAGUCAGGCGCGGGGGGAUAAGCUUCGUCGCCGAGAGGGAACAGCCCAGACCGCCAGCCAAGGCGCCCAGAUGGUUCAGUGGAAAGGAUGUGGCCCUGCUCAGACAGUGAGGAUGUUGGCUUAGAGGCAGCCAUCAUUUAAACAGUGCGUAACAGCUGACUCAUCGAGCGGGGUCGCGCCGAAAAUGAUUGGCGAUCAAACCAUGUACCGAAGCUGCGGGUGUCGGGACCCCCGGGUCCCGGCGGCGGUAGGAGAGCGUGACCAACGCGUCGAAGCCGGACGGAAACGGAAGGUGGAGCGUUGGCCAGUGAGAAUGCAGACACGAGUAGCGAUAAACCGGUGGAGAAUCCCGGUCGCCGUAAACCUAAGGUUUCCUGGGGCAGGUUCGUCCUCCCAGGGUUAGUCGGGAGCUAAGGCGAGGCCGUAAGGCGAUAGUCGAUGCCCAGCAGGUCAAAUAUUCCUGCACCACCGACAUUUAACCGGCCAGGGACGCGGAGAGAAAGGUCGGGGAUCACCCUAUCCGAAUCGGGACGCGGAGCCCACGGGCGAAGCGCAUCCCUGGACAAUCUGCCGAGAAAAGCUGGCGGGUAGACUAAGGCGCCCGUACCGUAAACCGACACAGGUGGGUGAGUGUGAAGGCACUCAGGCGCGCGAGAGAAACCUCUCUGAAGGAACUCGGCACAUUAGCCCCGUAACUUCGGGAGAAGGGGUGCCCAACACCCUGGCAGCAAUGUUUGGGUGAAGGGCUUCAAUAAAUUGCGCUUAGCGACUGUUUAACAAAAACACAGCACUCUGCCAAGUCGUGAAGACGACGUAUAGGGUGUGACACGUGACCAAUGCGGAAAGAUUAACGCAUCUUGUCAGCCCGCGCAAGCGGGGUGAAGCCCGGUGCCUAAGUCCCCGUGAAUGUCGGCCGUAACUAUAACGGUCCUAAGGUAGCGAAAUUCCUUGUCGGGUAAGUUCCGACCUGCACGAAUCGUGUAACGAGUUGAGCGACUGUCUCGGAGAGGAUCUCGGCGAAACUGUAGUGGCGGUGAAGAUGCCGCCUGCCCGCAGUAGGACGGAAAGACCCUAUGCACCUUUACUGUAAGCUGGUAUUGGGUUCCUGGUUAACGGAUGCGUAGCGUAGGUGGGAGGCGGUGAACGGUCGGCUUCAGGUUGACCGGGAGUCGCCAAUGGAAACACCACCUUUCCGCUAAUUAGAAUUCUAACCCCGACUGUCAGCCAGGCGGGGGACAGUGCCUGCGGGUCAGUUUGACUGGGGCGGUCUCCUCCCAAAGAGUAACGGAGGAGCGCGAAGGUCGGCUCAGCACUGGUUGGCAACCAGCCCCAUAGAACGCAUGGGCAGAAGCCGGCUUGACUGCGAGACCAACAAGUCGAGCAGGCGCGAAAGCGGGCCCAAGUGAUCCGGUGGUGGAAAGUGGAAUCGCCGUCGCUCAACGGACAAAAAGGUACGCUAGGGAUAACAGGCUGAUCGCGCCCAAGAGUUCAUAUCGACGGCCCGGUUUGGCACCUCGAUGUCGGCUCAUCGCAUCCUGGGGCUGGAGAAGGUCCCAAGGGUCCGGCUGUUCGCCGGUUAAAGCGGUACGCGAGCUGGGUUCAGAACGUCGUGAGACAGUUCGGUCCUCUAUCCACUGUGGGCGCCAGGAGACUUGAGGGGUUCUUUCCUUAGUACGAGAGGACCGGGAAAGACGCACUUCUGGUGUGGCAGUUGUUCCGUCAGGGGCAUCGCUGCGUAGCCAUGUGCGGACGAGAUAAGCGCUGAAAGCAUCUAAGCGCCAAGCUCCUCCCAAGAUAUGGUCUCCCAGCCGCAAGGCUCUCAAGACCCCGGUAGACGACCGGGUUGAUAGGUCAGGCGUGAAAGCGCGGCAACGCGUUCAGCGGACUGAUACUAAUUGGUCGUGCGGCUUGAUCGC
rnacentral:rRNA from 1 species